rnacentral:rRNA from 1 species
UACGUAGGGUGCGAGCGUUGUCCGGAAUUAUUGGGCGUAAAGAGCUUGUAGGCGGUCUGUCGCGUCUGCUGUGAAAAUCCGGGGCUCAACCCCGGACUUGCAGUGGGUACGGGCAGACUAGAGUGUGGUAGGGGAGACUGGAAUUCCCGGUGUAGCGGUGAAAUGCGCAGAUAUCGGGAAGAACACCCGUGGCGAAGGCGGUUCUCUGGGACGGUACUGACGCUGAGACGCGAAAGCGUGGGGAGCGAACAGG